rnacentral:rRNA from 1 species
CAAUAGCGUAUAUUUAAGUUGUUGCAGUUAAAAAGCUCGUAGUUGGAUUUCGGAUGGGAUUUGCCGGUCCGUCGUUACGAUGUGCACUGGCCAGUCCUAUCUUGUUGUCGGGGACUAGCUCCUUGGAUUCACUUCCUGGGACUAGGAGCUGACGAGGUUACUUUGAGUAAAUUAGAGUGUUCAAAGCAAGCCUACGCUCUGAAUACAUUAGCAUGGAAUAACACGAUAGGGCUCUGGCUUAUCUUGUUGGUCUGUGAGACCAGAGUAAUGAUUAAGAGGGACAGUCGGGGACAUUCGUAUUUCAUUGUCAGAGGUGAAAUUCUUGGAUUUAUGAAAGACGAACUUCUGCGAAAGCAUUUGUCAAGGAUGUUUUCAUUAA